UAUACUAAAAGUUAAAUAAGCUCAAAGCUCAGGGCAUCCACGUAAGCAUAUAAAAUCAACCACUAAGAAAGUUUGAUUUUGCCACCUCACAUGAGCUUUAUCUGCAGAAUUGAGAAAAAAAGUUAUCACGGCCCAGCUUCCUAAACCCGUAUCUCUUUGAUCGACUCUUUGUCUUCAACGUCCAGGUUCUGUGUAAGCGACUCUUCUACUUCAUCUUCUAUCUCUGUAACCCCCUCAUGAUCAAUCAAUAAUACUCUUUCAUCUGGUUUAGUUCUACCCUCCCGUUCAUUCUCAUCAUAUAUAAAUCGUUUCAUCAUUGAAACUACUUUUUAUCUCCCUCAAAUUCUCCGGAUCAUCAAAUCAAUUCUUAACUUCUCCACCAGAAGUUCAACAGACAAACUCUAGCAGCCACGGGGUUAUUUAGAGAUUAAGACAAUUCCCCAGAUUCUCUACUAAAAUCGGUUUAUCGCGGGCGAAUUUGAAGUUUCAAAAGGUCAGCCUUCUUCCAUCAACACAUACUCCUUCUCGAUUCUAAAGCUAUUUCGUUCUUAAAUGAUUCUGGAUACAGGGCCAGAACCAUAACCAAAGACUCCUUCAGAUCUUACUUUGUCGGGCAGAUCUUCCGAGCAUCUCACGGUUUCGCCUAUUCUUGCUUGGCUCAACGGCGGAGAUUGGAGCAUGGUGAAUCGAAAGUGGUUCAGGCAGGACGACGUGUUUGGCUUAAAGCUCCGAUGAGGCGAUGAAAAAAACUCGCUGCUCACAGUAUAAUCAAUAACCAAAGCGAGUAUAACAUUACGCAUGUUGACCAUAUCAGUUCAAAAUAAUUGCUUUGAUUUAUGACGAUUCAGAAGUCCAAAGAGAAGGUGUUGAAGGAUUCAAUGAAACCAUCACAGAACAGUUCUGCUUAUGUCUCUGAAAGCUGGAGUCGAACUGAAUCUGACCGCAUCUUCACACAUCUUCUUAACGAUGGGUACAAUACAACAGAUCAACAAGGCAAACCGUGGUCACCUUACUCCCCAUGAGUUGAAAGAAUGACAACCAGACUAGGGAAUGCAAGACAGGCAAUCCAGAAAAUUCUCACAGAUUCUGUAAUGAGACAUGUAGAGAAACAAACUUGGCUUCUCUAAUCAUUUCAGAAAUCAAUGUUUGGUUCAGAUUUUCUGGAGCAUGUUGAUGUUGAUGAUGUCUCACCAAAAUCUAACACAUCUCUUUGAGCAGGUUUUGUCUGAUCUGUGACUGAGACUUACCAGAAAGCUCUCAUGAAGCAAUGUAACCUUAACACGUUGAAGAUGUUGAAUGAGGCUAAGAGAUUGGUGGUUCUGGUGUUUGCUUCUCAGAUUGUUUUUAAAGAUGCGCUUGGAUCACACCCAAGUUUGGUAAAAAAAAAUUAAGUUUGGAAUUUAGUGUUUGAAUGUGAACUGAAAUCUUGGGUGUGCUUUGUGAGCAGACAUGUUUCUAUGGAACAAUGAUCCUAUGGCAAUGGUCUUAUAUAUGAGAACUGGAUAGAUCAUCAAUCUUUUCAUAUGCUAUCGCUAACCUCUAAAAAUUUAUUUCAAAUAAAUUAUUAUUCAAUCUUUUUAUAUUUGCAUCAAAUAAUUUGCUCUUUUAUUUCUCUCUGUUUCAGGCAAUAGCUUUGAUUGGAGAGACUGGAAGCAGGAAAUCUAUAAUGUAAUUGCAAUGUGCAGAGUUUUCACGAUUUUGAUCACGUCAGCAAAACUGGAACCGAUUUGUUCAAUGAAACCAUCGUAACAAACAUUACUUGUGGAGGAGGAUAAGCUUCUGAAUCUGCAUCUGAGCUAUCUAAUGCUCAUGGCUUUUUAGUGGACUACAACAUGUAUCUUUAACGGCACUUGAAGCAAUGCGCAGCUUUAAUUUCCAGAUUCAUACUACACAUGAAUGAUAUGUAUUAAGUGUUGCAAGCAUAUGUUACAAUGAUAUGUGAAAAAGGAGUUCAAUUA